rnacentral:rRNA from 1 species
AUGACAACCAAAGGUCACCACCAUCUCUUGCCAAGACGUGACCUUGCUUCAAUCUCCCUCCCGCCCUGCCAUGAUUCGAUUGUUUUCCUCCUCAGCAUAGGCACAGAAAAAUCAGUGCUAGAGAUUAUAAUUUCUUCAUGUAUAAUACACCAUGUUUUUAGCACAACUCAUGCUGCAGGCGUCGGGUGCAGCGCAGGAUCCGCACACCCUCUCCUACAGGAGUUCGAGGGCAAGGAGAAGCUGCUCCAACUGGUGAGGUCACCACAAUCUGUUGCUAAGAGACCACAGCGAUUGGAUUGA